rnacentral:rRNA from 1 species
GGAAGUAAAAGUCGUAACAAGGUCUCCGUUGGUGAACCAGCGGAGGGAUCAUUACUGAGUUUACGCUCUAUAACCCUUUGUGAACAUACCUAUAACUGUUGCUUCGGCGGGCAGGGUCUCCGCGACCCUCCCGGCCUCCCGCCUCCGGGCGGGUCGGCGCCCGCCGGAGGAUAACCAAACUCUGAUUUAACGACGUUUCUUCUGAGUGGUACAAGCAAAUAAUCAAAACUUUUAACAACGGAUCUCUUGGUUCUGGCAUCGAUGAAGAACGCAGCGAAAUGCGAUAAGUAAUGUGAAUUGCAGAAUUCAGUGAAUCAUCGAAUCUUUGAACGCACAUUGCGCCCGCCAGCAUUCUGGCGGGCAUGCCUGUUCGAGCGUCAUUUCAACCCUCAAGCUCUGCUUGGUGUUGGGGCCCUACAGCUGAUGUAGGCCCUCAAAGGUAGUGGCGGACCCUCCCGGAGCCUCCUUUGCGUAGUAACUUUACGUCUCGCACUGGGAUCCGGAGGGACUCUUGCCGUAAAACCCCCCAAUUUUCCAAAGGUUGACCUCGGAUCAGGUAGGAAUACCCGCUGAACUUAAGCAUAUCAAUAAGCGGAGGA